rnacentral:lncRNA from 1 species
GCGAGAGCCAACAACAGGCCCACCAGGUGCCUCCACCAGCAAGCCUCUCUCUCGAGGUCACAAGGAUGUGGGAGCCUUUUUCUGCUAAACUGAAGAUGAUGGCAGAAGACUUCCCCACCAUUAUAACUAGAGCUGUGGAGAGCUCCACCAGGAAGCUCCAGGACGACCUCUUCAACCUUCGAACUGAGAAUAGCACUAUGAGGGUUGAGGUGGAGAAGUUGUCCUUCAAUCUGACACUCGCGGAGAUUGAACACUCCCGAGUAGAAGAUGCG